GACAGAGGUGCCAAGCGUUAGGCGGAAUCACUGGGCUUAAAGCGUGUGUAGGCGGAUCGUUAAGUACCUUGUGAAAUCCCACGGCUCAACCGUGGAACUGCUGGGUAUACUGGCGAUCUUGAGGCAUUCAGGGGCGAGCGGAACAAAUGGUGGAGCGGUGAAAUGCGUAGAUAUCAUUUGGAACGCCAAUGGUGAAAACAGCUCGCUGGGAAUGAUCUGACACUGAGACGCGAAAGCCAGGGGAGCGAACGGG
rnacentral:rRNA from 1 species